GCUAAACGCGAAGAACCUUACCAGGUCUUGACAUCCCUCUGACCGGUCUGGAGACAGGCCUUCCCUUCGGGGCAGAGGAGACAGGUGGUGCAUGGUUGUCGUCAGCUCGUGUCGUGAGAUGUUGGGUUAAGUCCCGCAACGAGCGCAACCCUUGAUCUUAGUUGCCAGCACUUCGGGUGGGCACUCUAAGAUGACUGCCGGUGACAAACCGGAGGAAGGUGGGGAUGACGUCAAAUCAUCAUGCCCCUUAUGACCUGGGCUACACACGUACUACAAUGGUCGGUACAACGGGAAGCGAAGCCGCGAGGCGGAGCCAAUCCUCAAAAGCCGAUCUCAGUUCGGAUUGCAGGCUGCAACUCGCCUGCAUGAAGUCGGAAUUGCUAGUAAUCGCGGAUCAGCAUGCCGCGGUGAAUACGUUCCCGGGUCUUGUACACACCG
rnacentral:rRNA from 1 species